GAUGAACGCUAGCGGCAGGCUUAAUACAUGCAAGUCGUGGGGCAGCAGGGGUAGCAAUACUCGCUGGCGACCGGCAAACGGGUGCGGAACACGUACACAACCUUCCUUCAAGCGGGGAAUAGCCCAGAGAAAUUUGGAUUAAUACCCCAUAACAUACAUGAUAAGGCAUCUUAUUAGUAUUAAAGCUUCGGCACUUGAUG
rnacentral:rRNA from 1 species